UACGGAGGGGGCUAGCGUUGUUCGGAAUUACUGGGCGUAAAGCGCGCGUAGGCGGCUUUGCAAGUUAGAGGUGAAAGCCCGGAGCUCAACUCCGGAAUUGCCUUUAAGACUGCAUCGCUAGAAUCAUGGAGAGGUUAGUGGAAUUCCGAGUGUAGAGGUGAAAUUCGUAGAUAUUCGGAAGAACACCAGUGGCGAAGGCGACUAACUGGACAUGUAUUGACGCUGAGGUGCGAAAGCGUGGGGAGCAAACAGG
rnacentral:rRNA from 1 species